GAUCAUGGCUCAGGAUGAACGCUAGCUACAGGCUUAACACAUGCAAGUCGAGGGGCAGCAUGGUCUUAGCUUGCUAAGGCUGAUGGCGACCGGCGCACGGGUGAGUAACACGUAUCCAACCUUCCCGUUACUCUGGAAUAGCCUUUCGAAAGAAAGAUUAAUACCGGAUAGUAUCGUGAGAUUGCAUGAUUACCCGACUAAAGAUUCAUCGGUAACGGAUGGGGAUGCGUUCCA
rnacentral:rRNA from 1 species